CCCCCAAAAAGCUGAAAAUAAACCCAAUUUUCAUAUCUGUCGAGUAAUUGUAGCAGUUAUGAAGUGCAGAGCUGAUGGUAAUCCGUGCAGAGUUCAAAGGCGUCUGCUAUACGAGAGUGGAAGUGCCGCUCAAGGUGCAUAUGUAUCAGAUAGUGUUUCUGUAUCUUCCAUUGUUACAAAUGCAACAGACAAGCCGCAGGAAAUUACGCUUAUUCCGAAUGAUAGUGUGAACAUUUUACUUUAUGGAGAAGUUGAACUGCCAAAAGUAUCAAUUCGCCCUGAAAAGUUCUACUUAAAGGAUUUAAAAGUGUACGAAACCCAUGAAG
rnacentral:lncRNA from 1 species